rnacentral:snRNA from 1 species
AGCUUUGCGCAGUGGCAGUAUCGUAGCCAAUGAGGUUUAUCCGAGGUGCGAUUAUUGCUAACUGAAAACAAAAAUAAAGAUAU